rnacentral:rRNA from 1 species
GAUGAACGCUGGCUACAGGCUUAACACAUGCAAGUCGAGGGGAAACGACGGGGAAGCUUGCUUCCCCGGGCGUCGACCGGCGCACGGGUGAGUAACGCGUAUCCAACCUGCCUCUGACUGAGGGAUAACCCGUCGAAAGUCGGCCUAAUACCUCAUGGCAUCGUCUGCGGGCAUCCAACGACGAUUAAAGAUUUCAUCGGUCAGGGAUGGGGAUGCGUCUGAUUAGCUAGUUGGCGGGGCGACGGCCCACCAAGGCGACGAUCAGUGGGGGUUCUGAGAGGAAGGUCCCCCACAUUGGAACUGAGACACGGUCCAAACUCCUACGGGAGGCAGCAGUGAGGAAUAUUGGUCAAUGGGCGGAAGCCUGAACCAGCCAAGUAGCGUGCAGGAGGACGGCCCUAUGGGUUGUAAACUGCUUUUAUGCGGGGAUAAAGUGAGGGACGUGUCCCUUUUUGCAGGUACCGCAUGAAUAAGGACCGCUAAUUCC